rnacentral:rRNA from 1 species
ACCUCCGUACGGAGGCAGCAGGAUGGGAAUAUUGCACAAUGGGCGCAAGCCUGAUGCAGCCAUGCCGCGUGUGUGAAGAAGGCCUUCGGGUUGUAAAGCACUUUCAGUCGUGAGGAAGGUAGUGUAGUUAAUAGCUGCAUUAUUUGACGUUAGCGACAGAAGAAGCACCGGCUAACUCCGUGCCAGCAGCCGCGGUAAUACGGAGGGUGCGAGCGUUAAUCGGAAUUACUGGGCGUAAAGCGCAUGCAGGUGGCUUGUUAAGUCAGAUGUGAAAGCCCGGGCUCAAGCCUCA